GUGCUCGCUUCGGCAGCCCAUAUACUAAAAUUGGAACGAUACAGAGAUUAGCAUGGCCCCUGCGCAAGGAUGACACAGACAGACAGGUAAAAGAAGCUUUA
ensembl:snRNA Gm24917 predicted gene, 24917